rnacentral:lncRNA from 1 species
CCCACCACCACCCAAGGAGCCUUACAAGUAUAAGUCUCCACCACCUCCUCCACCAGUGCAUUAUCCUCCACCCCCUUACGAGUACAAGUCUCCUCCGCCACCCCCGCCAUCACCACCCAAGCAUCCCUAUAAGUACAAGUCUCCACCUCCACCUCCACCAUCACCACCCAAGCACCCUUACAAGUACAAGUCUCCACCACCCCCACCAUCACCACCCAAGCACCCCUACAAGUACAAGUCUCCUCCACCACCUCCACCAUCACCACCCAAGCACCCCUACAAGUAUAAGUCUCCACCACCCCCACCAUCACCACCCAAGCAUCCUUACAAGUACAAGUCUCCACCACCACCACCACCAUCACCACCCAAGCACCCCUACAAGUACAAGUCUCCUCCACCUCCACCAUCACCACCCAAGCAUCCCUACAAGUACAAGUCUCCACCACCCCCACCCUCACCACCCAAGCACCCCUACAAGUACAAGUCUCCACCCCACCCCCACCCUCACCACCCAAGCACCCUUACAAGUACAAGUCUCCCCCACCACCCACUCCAGUCUACAAAUAUAAGUCUCCUCCCCCUCCUCCUCCAGCUUACUAUUACAAGUCUCCUCCUCCAC